UACAGAGGUCUCGAGCGUUGUUCGGAUUCAUUGGGCGUAAAGGGUGCGUAGGUGGCGGGGGAAGUCAGGUGUGAAAUCCCGGGGCUCAACCCCGGAACUGCAUUUGAUACUGCCUUGCUCGAGUACUGGAGAGGAGACUGGAAUUUACGGUGUAGCAGUGAAAUGCGUAGAUAUCGUAAGGAAGACCAGUGGCGAAGGCGAGUCUCUGGACAGUUACUGACACUGAGGCACGAAGGCCAGGGGAGCAAACGGG
rnacentral:rRNA from 1 species